AGUCCAUGGUCGUAGUAUUGUCCAGAUCGACCGCGAACUUCGUCACCUCCGUGUCACCGCCGGUCGGACCAAUGACCGACCUUAUCAGGCUCGUCUGACGACACUCUGUCUGGCUGACGAUGGUCGCGUCUUUGGUUCUUUCUCGACAGCCGCCGAUUGCGUGGGUGUUUCCUCAGCUGUUUUUCGUACGUGCACGUAUCCGUGUGCGAUGCAGUGACCGUUUUUCUUUAUUUUAUCGUCAAAGUCUGUUUUACGUGUAUAUUUUGCAGACCGAUUGACGACAGCGUUUAGUCCGUUAAUUCUGCACCGUUGUGAAUUAGCGUGUGCAUGGGUACGGAUCACCGUUCUUUUUUUUGUUACGCGUCGGUCGUUACAACACCGAAAUCGGUCGUUUACCCGCGCGGACCUUUAACUUUUCUGGUCUAUCAUUGUGAGUCACGUGUGCGUCGUUUCGCAUCUUUCACCUCGUGUGUGACGACGUCCGUUUUUUUCGGUUUUUCCCGUAUUGUAUAUACGCCACUGUUGUGACAUAUCCACUGUGGAAAUUCACUUUUCAACGCCUCCAUCGUUGGUAUUCAGCUGGUUCAGAUUGGCAACGCUACCGCCUAUAUCAUUAAUUGGGCUCUCAUAUCUAUACCGGGUGACGUAUUCAUUAUUAUUACGGUUUAUAAUAAUGUAUAAUAUACUCGUGUAUACAAUUAGUAGCCAUAUUUAUUCUACGAAUCACGAGACGCAUCCAAAUACAGCUGAAAAAUAUUUUUUUUUUCUAAACUUAAACAUUUCCCAUAUGUUUUGCUAAUGAUUCCGCGGAAUAUUACGGAUAAUCGAGUGUAUACCGUAUUGGUUUUAAAUAAAUCACUUACGUUUACUGCAACAUGGAUACAAAUUAUGAAUAUUUAAUGUUGAAAGAACAAAUAAGAAAAGUCAUAGAUAAUUAACUCUUAAAAAUACCAGGUAUAUAAAAAUCUUAAAAUUAUAUUAAAAUAAAAAUAGCAGGAUAUCUUACUAAUAAAAUAAAUCUAAAAUUUAAUUUUAAGUCAUCUACGAAAAUGCCUUAUAUUUUAAAACAUAGGUACUUACCCAAACUUUUAUAUGUAUAAUAAGAUACGAUUUCCAGGCACGGCGUUGCAGCUAUUAUAACAAAUUUGAAUAUAAUACUCAUUUUUAAAUGUUUUUAAUGACAACACAAAGACAAGACUGAAGUAUUAAAUUUGUUAAUAUGUACAUUGUACAUGGUUGCGAAUGAAAGUAAUCGAGAUUAAAUAUGAGUGGCCAUAAAAGAAACAGUGAGAGUGAAAAUGAAAAUUCACAGCAUCUGGAAAAAAAAAACCAAAUUUAACGAUGGACAUCUUGACGAUCAAACAAAAAAACACGCAUUCUCCGGAUGCUCAAAGUUCAGUAUACGAGACACAACACAGUCAUACAAGGCAGAGUAUUUUCUGACAUGCACUUGCACAGAUCGCGAAUCACUUUAGAGACUCGUCGCCUUGCUCGUCGCUAUACAUGCUUCAAAUAAAUUGCUAACAUGGGCAUAUCCGGACAUGGCUUCAUCCAUUGGAUAUAAUCUAAGGUAAAAAAGAAGAAAUUUGAUCAAUGAAGUCUGUAAUUAAAAAUACUGGAAAAAACUUAAUGUGUUGUCCAAAACAAACUUAGUAAUUUAAACCUACUAUAAGAAUAAUAAAUUACUUCUGAAGACCCUUCAACUUUUUAGAAUCUUGGCCAUGUAAGAUAUAAUGGACCUACAGGGUCGUUUAACAUGAUUCGGAGAAUUGACGGAAUCCAAACAUUACAAAUAAUCUAGUUAAUUCCUAUUUCUUAAGAUUUUUUUUUGUUAAUGGUUUUUUUUUUAAAUGACAAUUUUAAUUUGAUUUUUAACGAUAUAUAUAC